rnacentral:tRNA from 1 species
GCAUUGGUAGUUAAGUGGUAGACUUCUCGGCUUCCACACAGGAGACCUAGGUUCGAUUCUCAACCAAUGCA